rnacentral:rRNA from 1 species
CCCUUAGAUGUUCUGGGCCGCACGCGCGCUACACUGACGAAUGCAACGAGCUUAUAACCUUGGCCGAAAGGUCUGGGUAAUCUCCAAAUUUCGUCGUGAUGGGGAUUGAUUAUUGCAAUUAUUAAUCUUCAACGAGGAAUGCCUAGUAAGCGCAAGCCAUCAGCUUGCGUUGAUUACGUCCCUGCCCUUUGUACACACCGCCCGUCGCUCCUACCGAUUGAAUGGUCCGGUGAAGCGUUCGGACCGUGGCCUUUGGACGGUUCGCCGUCUGUUGGCUGCGGGAAGUUCGUUAAACCUUAUCAUUUAGAGGAAGGAGAAGUCGUAACA